GUCACCGCGCAUUUUCUCAAGCUACAGGACGGGACAAAAUGACACAUUUUGUAUGGAUUAUACAGGAAAAAACACCAUUUUGUGAUUAGAAACUAAACAAAAUGAUAGAAUUGUUAAAUACUUCAGGAAAAGAUAGUUUUCAGACACUGCUUUGAGAAUAUCAAAAGAAAAGAUAGGGUCACCGUACGUUUUUUCCGGCUAAAAUACAAAAUAGGAAAAUUCCAUACAGAAUCCUUCAGAAAAUGCACUUUUUUAGAGUUACCUCCCCUUAUAAUUCUUAUUUAAAAAAAAAAACCAAAAACAACCAAAAAUAAUUAACAUUUGCAAAAAUAUCAAUAUUUAGAAGUUAUAUUCUUAUAAAUUGGUACUUUUAAAUGAAAAUUUACAUUAAACAUCUGCAUUCCUGCAUCAAAUUUUGCUAACUUGAUGGAAAAUCUGGACCUUUGAUUCUCUGUUUUUUACAAUCCAAGAUGGAGGAAGACACCCAUACCACCUUA
rnacentral:lncRNA from 1 species